rnacentral:rRNA from 1 species
UACGUAGGGGGCUAGCGUUGUCCCGGAAUCAUUGGGCGUAAAGAGCGUGUAGGCGGCCCGGUAAGUCCGCUGUAAAAGUCAAAGGCUCAACCUUUGAAUGUCAGUGGAUACUGCCGGGCUAGAGUCCGGAAGAGGCGAGUGGAACUCCUGGUGUAGCGGUGGAAUGCGCAGAUAUCAGGAAGAACACCAACGGCGAAGGCAGCUCGCUAGGACGGUACUGACGCUGAGACGCGAAAGCGUGGGGAGCGAACAGG